rnacentral:rRNA from 1 species
GACAGAGGUGCCAAGCGUUAGGCGGAAUCACUGGGCUUAAAGCGUGUGUAGGCGGAAUUGUAAGUACCUUGUGGAAAUCCCACAGCUCAACUGUGGAACUGCUCGGUAUACUGCUUUUCUUGAGCCACUUAGGGGCUGUCGGAACAAACGGUGGAGCGGUGAAAUGCGUAGAUAUCGUUUGGAACGCCAACGGUCGAAAACAGACAGCUGGGAGUGU